rnacentral:rRNA from 1 species
UUAUAACUUUUCUAAUCGUAAAGGAGUUUUAAAGAAUUAAAACAAAUUUUAAUUGUUUCUCAAUUAAAAUUUUUCUAAGCUAGUGAAUUGAACCAUCUAAGUAACUAGACAAAAAAUCAACCGAGAGACUGUAAGUAGUGGUGAGCGAAAUUGGUAUAGAUUAUUCUUAAAAGCUUUAUAUAAUAUGUUUAAAUCUUAACGACCAAAGAAGGUAACAUCAACUGCAAAAUGUGAAGUCCUGUGAACCAUAUUCAAAAUUUUUAAGAUAUAAAGUAAAGUGAUACAUGUCAUGUAUUACUUUAAGAUUGGGGUACCACCCUCAAAAUCUAAAAGAUAUUAAUGAUUGAUAGUGAACAAGUACCGUAAGGGAAUAGGCAUAUUAAAUUUAAUGUUUAUAAUCUGUUGUAGCUUGGUUUAAAGCGACAGCGUUCCUUUUGCAUAAUGAAUCAAUGAGUUUAUAUCAAUGGCAAGCUUAAACGAUUUAGUGUAGGCUAAAAAAAAUUAAGUUUUAAAUUGCGUAUGUACAGAUAAUUUGGCAAUUUUAACCUAACUUCUUGAAUCAGUCUUUGAUAUAAGACCCGAAACUAAGUGAUCUAACCAUGAACAGGCUGAAUUUAAAGCGGUAACGCUUAUUGAAAGGCCCAACUUGUGUAUGUGGAAAAAUACUAAGAUGAUUUGUGGUUAGGGGUGAAAGGCCAAACAAACUUAGAGAUAGCUGGUUUUCUGCGAAAUCUAUUUAAGUAGAGCGUUUAAAGUUGCUAGAUUGCCCUAAAAAAUUUAUUUUUUAGGCUUGCUAGCGUAAGCAUCAAAGUGCUUAAAACUUCUUUAUUUUAAGGUAGAGCACUCAAUAAAUAAGGGGGGCGUAAAGCUUUACCGCAUUUAAUGAAACUCCGAAGAUAAAAUAAAAGAAUUUAAACAGACAGACUAUGAGUGCUAAGGUUCAUAGUCCAAAGGGAAACAGCCCAAAUUAUUUGUUAAGGCCCUCAAAAAUAAUUAAGUGAAAAAGAAAGUAAAAAAAUGUUAACAACUUAUAUGUAGGCUUGGAAGCAGCCAGCUCUUCAAGAGAGCGUAACAACUCAUUGGUUUAGCUUUUUAGCAUCGAAAAUGUAUAGGGACUAAAAUUAUUUGCCGAAACAAUAAAUUUAAACUAAUUUAUAAAAAAACAAUAACUUAAAGGCAACGUAGUUGCUGAUAAAUACCGCUUUCUUAAAACCAAUCAGACCAUUUAACGUCUCUUGGUCUUCAGAAGGCUUGUGUGUAAACUAGUUUAAAUGGUAGCAGAACGUUUUGUAUAUUAAAGAAAAUUUAUAGUAAUAUAAAUUGAAAAAAUCAAAAAUGAAAAUAUUGAUAUGAGUAGCGAAAAACGUUUAAGUGAUGAAUAAACUACGUCACCUUAAGUUCAAGGUCUAUAGGGAAACGGCUAAUCUUCCCUAAUAACAAUCGGUCCCUAAGAUAGCAACGAAAGUUAUAAUUGAUGGGUAAUAAAUUUUUAUUAUAUUUUAAAGUGACGAAAUACAAAUUAAAUUUUUAAUUAUGAAAGUGCUGCUUUUUUAAUCUACAAAAAACUGACACAUUUACAAAUACUCGAUUGGAAUUUGUCUCAGUUGAGAUUAACGCACACUAAAGCCAAUUAAUAUACUUAGUGCUUUAAUUAAAUUUUUUUUAGUAUUUUCAGGAAAUAGCUUAAAAUAAUACCGUACUGCAAACCGACACAGGUGAACAAAUUUAGUAAAUUAAGGUGCUUGAGUUAAUUGUAUUGAAGGAACUCGGCAAAAUGGCUCCGUAACUUCGGGAUAAGGAGUAGCUUUUUAUAGUUAAAAACUUAAGAAGCUGUCACAAAAUCGAGGACAGCGACUGUUUAAUAAAAACACAGGUCUCUGCAAAUUUGAAAAAAGAUGUAUAGAGACUGACGCCUGCCCAGUGCUGCAAGAUUAAUAGGAAAAGUCUUGGCUUUAACUUUAACCCCCAGUAAACGGCGGCUGUAACUCUGACGGUCCAAAGGUAGCGAAAUUCCUUGGCAUUUAAUUGGUGUCCUGCAUGAAUGGCGUAACGACUGUCCUACUGUCUCCAGUACAAUCUCAGUGAAAUUGAAAUGUCUGUGAAGAUGCAGACUACUCUCGGCUAGACGGAAAGACCCUGUGCACCUUUACUAUAGUUAUAAAUUGUAAUAAAAUUUUUUUUGUGUAGGAUACGUGGUAAGUUUUUAUUAGACUUUAACGCAAGUUACUUGUUCAAACACAACUGAAAUACCACUCUUAAAAACUUUUGUUACUCAUAAUUUCAAACAGUUUAUAAUGGGUAGUUUGACUGGGGCGGUCGCCUCCUAAAAAGUAACGGAGGCGUACGAAGGCAAGCUCAAAUUGAAAAAAACCAAUUUAAGAGCACAAUAGUAUAUUGCUUGCCUGACUGAAAGAUUGACAUAUCGAACAGAGAUGAAAGUCGGUUAUAGUGAUCCGAUGACUCUGAGUGGAAAAGGUCGUCGCUCAACGGAUAAAAGGUACGCCAGGGAUAACAGGCUAAUCAUUCUUUAGAGACCCUAUCGAUGGAGUGGUUUGGCACCUCGAUGUUGGAUUAUCGCAUCCUGGAGCUGUAAGUGGUUCCAAGGGUUUGGCUGUUCGCCAAGAAAGGCGGUACAUGAUCUGAGUUUAGAACGUUGUAAAACAGUUUGGUCCCUAUCUACCGUGAGUGUUAAAAAUUGAAAGGAGUAAACCUUAGUACGAGAGGACCGGGAAAAGUAAAUCUCUGGUGAAUCGAUUGUUGUUUAUUUAAAAGCAUUGUCGAGUAGCUAUAUUUAUAAUAGAUAAUUGUUGAAAGCAUCUAAACAAGAAACUAACCUUGAAAAAAAUUUUUAGAAAGUCGUAAAAGAUUAUUACGUGAUAGACUUAAUGUGUAAGAAUUGCAAGAUUUUUAGCAAAUAAGCACUAAAAUUUAAAUUGUUUAAG